rnacentral:rRNA from 1 species
UACGAAGGGGGCUAGCGUUGCUCGGAAUCACUGGGCGUAAAGGGUGCGUAGGCGGGUCUUUAAGUCAGGGGUGAAAUCCUGGAGCUCAACUCCAGAACUGCCUUUGAUACUGAAGAUCUUGAGUUCGGGAGAGGUGAGUGGAACUGCGAGUGUAGAGGUGAAAUUCGUAGAUAUUCGCAGGAACACCAGUGGCGAAGGCGGCUCACUGGCCCGGUACUGACGCUGAGGUGCGAAAGCGUGGGGAGCAAACAGG